UGUGACCUUAUAUUUCUGUUUUCAAAACCAUACCAAAUUCAUAGAAAGACAGCUGAAAGAUCCUGGAACGUCGCGAAUCCUGUGGAAGGCAGCUUCAUGUACUUGACAGAGUCGCCCUAGGACUCCAUACGCUGCUCAGCGAUGGGCGUAUCCACCACAAGAGGAACAGAGGUGACAGCUGUUGGACCUACUCCUACUACAACAGCAUUAACGUGACCAGGCAUCAUCGGUACCGGGGACUCGGAGAAGCCUCGCAACACUGCCGUGUAUGAAGUGUCUGCUCUUCUGGACAGAUGUCGGCAGCCAUAAGAAAUCAGCCAACGGAUGACCAGGCUGCGGGUCCGUUGUCGCCCUCAACGCGUAUUAUGUCAGAGCGCAUGUCCAAGAUUUCCUCUGUGGCGGAUACGGUGCCACGCUCAACAUCACGUUACGUUUGCCUGCAGCACCACCACGAAUGUCAGUAAAAUGCUGGCCCAUCAAUCCCAUCAAUGCGCCGCCCUGCUCCACCGCGAUCUGCGACUAGUCCGACUCCAAUUACAAGAGCAAAGAGAUACAGGAGGAGGAGUUGGAGCAUGGCUCCGGCAAGCAUCCCACCGAACACCAAUUUUUUGUAUAGAUUGAUAUUAUUUGGUUGCUCUAGCUCUUAUAAUCUCUGAGCACUAGACGCUCAUAGGGACAGACAGACAGACAUGGCUCUAUCGACUCGCUCAAGAAUUGGUUCUGCCGACCGUGCGCAGUAGAAGAGAAAAAACUUAGUUUCGUCUCUUUUGCGGCUGCGUCGUUAGCACUCUUUUGCUUUCUUCGCUUUGCAUUUGUUGUGUGCUGUGAUUUUGUAAUUAUUAUCAGGAAAACGCAGUGUUUAAAUACUGUACAAAAUAAUUAUAAAUUGUAUAAAAAUUAAAUUUAUGACGGGACAAACCUUCACAACGUAGGAGCAACACUAAUAGAGAGUAAUAUUAAGUAUAGUUGAGUUACACAGUGUAAGGACCUUUAAAAAGUAUAUUAUUUUAUCCAAUAUCUAUAUGCCUGAGGAUAUACAAAUUCUGGACAGAACGAAAAAUUAUGGUACUGAACCAGCAGAUUCCAGAUUUAUUCGACAAGAGAAUGGUUUAUUCGAAAUAGCAGAUACAUGAGAAUUAAAAUAUAAUUUAGGUACAAAGAUAAUGCCCAAGUCAUUAACUUUGUAUAGGCGUUCCAAGGAAAUGUUAUUAAUUGAGAAGUCAGACCUUUGUAAAGGCCAUAUUUUAAAAGACUUAACUGGGAACUAGACAAGAAAUCUAUCUCCUCAAAAGUGCAAGUCCAAUCAUUCCCAGUCAGUAAUAGGUUCAGUUGUGUGGAGGCCCGAAGGAGUCCUUGGCUUUAUGAAAAGGUAGUCUGAGGAAUUUUCUUACCCCUAUACCAUAAACUAAUCUACUUUUCUCUUUUCUGGUUCCUGUAUCUCGUCUCCUCACUACCAAAAAUAUCAAGAUAUGUUUCUGGUACCAUAUGUGUUUACAAUAAAUAGUUCCAUCGUCUUGCCUUUGAUACUUAUGCUUCCAAUGUCAGAUCUUAAUUAAUGAAUAGUUUAAGUUAGCUUUCUUCUGUGUUGAAUUUUUUGGCGAACUUGCCAGUAGCAGAUAAUUUAUGAUUUGUACAUUCUUCUUUCUACACAGUUUAACUGAACAUAGAACAUAUGUAUCCUUCGUUCUUGAGUGACUCGACCAGCAAUAGGGACUCUCGAUAUUCUUGGUGUUCAUGGGAUUGAUAAGCUCGGCUUCCGUUUCCUCUUCCCCGACAUCAAAUGACGCCUGCAGGCACUGGAUGGCCAUCUCAAUGCUCGUGCUCUAAUUGUGGGACUUCACGUCCACCUGCUUGUUGAAAUAGUCUACGAAGGUGCGGACAAAACUUCGCUGCACAACUGUAGUAUUUAUGUGAUUUAUGCUGAAAAAUUUUUAAAUACACACAUAAGAAAAAUUGUCUCGAAUUGUCUCGCACUCGACAACCUGUCAGUCCAGGCUUAAAAAAUGGAAAGUCCAACAUCGCGUGGUCCUCAUGGAACAUUCUUUUCAGUAUGCAACAACCGCUUAGGCCCGUAAAUUCAAGAAAAAUUUACUCAAGACUUAAAUUCGUGUUGCAGGAUACGUAUUGUAUUAAGGAUCUUGAGACUUUGAGUAUAUUUCUCUUAGAUGGUGGUGCCUGAGUCAUCUUACAAAAUCCACGCAGGCAAAAAGUCGGGCAAGAAAUUUGUACGUUACACAUUUUACUAUUCAAAUUAGAAUUAAAAUUUUAAAUAGAUGUAUUGGAUCCGCUAUAUAAAUAUAUUCCGGGGAAAACUAUGAAUAAAUUAGUACAUUUUAA